rnacentral:rRNA from 1 species
UACGGAGGGAGCUAGCGUUGUUCGGAAUUACUGGGCGUAAAGCGCACGUAGGCGGCUUUUUAAGUCAGGGGUGAAAUCCCGGGGCUCAACCCCGGAACUGCCCUUGAAACUGGAGAGCUAGAAUCUUGGAGAGGCGAGUGGAAUUCCGAGUGUAGAGGUGAAAUUCGUAGAGAUCCGGAGGAACACCAAAGGCGAAGGCAGUGUCCUGGGGAGUACCUGACGCUCAGGUGGCGAAAGCCAGGGGAGCCGAACGGG